rnacentral:lncRNA from 1 species
CUCGGGUUUGCCAGAUGCCACGAGCUGCUUGAUCGUGAAGAGGAACGGGACGCGCUCGCCUCCAGGGAGCUGCACCGUAACUGCUGCGUAGUCUAUUCCGUCCUUCUCCUCGAACUUGACUGUACCGUCCUGAGAUACCUCGAAGGGUCCCUCGAUUUCGUCCAGGGUGUAGGUCAAACGGGUCAUGAGCUUGGUCUUCUGGAACUCAGCUGGUGAGUUCUUGCUUACGCCUUCGGCCUUGACGGUGAAUGAGGUUGGCUCGAGGCAGAACUUCUUGGCGGUGUACUUGCCGGAUUUGAAGGCGAAGCUGUCGGAACCACCGUCUAGGGUGGGGCACUGGUUGGCUGUUCCGGUUCCCUUCACUUCCAUGUAGGUCUUGCUCUGGAUUUCGUCGAAGGUUAGCCUUUUCGGAACUCCUUCAGCACUUGCUCCCUACCCAAAACACAGGUGAAUCUUCAUUCAAUUCGUGAUAUAUAUACAUUUAUUAUCAUUUCUCUACAAUAUGAUUAUGAUUUAUGACUAAUCUCUAGUUAAUUUAAGUUGCAGCUAUUUGAAUUUGAAGCUAUUAAAUGAACAUGAAAGAAUAUUGGAGAUACCGAGGCAACGAGUGCAGAAGUGGCGAGAGCGAAGCCGGCAAUCUUGGCGGCAUCGGUGCAUUUCUGGGCCAAGUCUUUGAGAUCGGACUGAAGAGAGCAGGUGAGCCUUGAACCGGCCGGUUCGAAGCCGAAUGACCUGCUGACGUUUUGAGCUGAUCGGAGCUGUAG